rnacentral:lncRNA from 1 species
AGAGCAAACUGGCCAGCUCUUUAUUGUUGUUGGCUCACAAGCCAAGAUGCUUCUCUCUCUUUUUUUUUUUUUUUUUUUGGAUUUUUUCGAGACAGGGUUUCUCUGUGUAGUCCUGGCUGUCCUGGAACUCACUUUGUAGACCAGGCUGGCCCCGCCUGCCUCUGCCUCCCAAGUGCUGGGAUUAAAGGUGUGCACCACCACUGCCUGGUGCUUUCUUCUUUUUAAAAAGAAAAAUCUGGCAGGGGCUGUACAUGGCACUCAAAUUCUGAUAUACAUGCUGUUUAUAAAAAUCUUCAUUUAAGGUUUGGUCAGUAGCAUUGGCUUUCAACCUGGAGCAGUUUUGCUGUCCAGGGCACUUGUCAGUGUCUGGGUAGGUUUUAGUUUUGAGAAUGGAGGGAGAUGUGUUAGUGAUACAGAAAGAGGACAUCACAGAUGCUAUCAAAUAGCCUAUGAUACACAGAAGUCUUCCAUAUCAAGGAAUUAUGUGUACUACUAUAAAAGUACUGACGUUGAGAAUAAUCUCAUGAUUCUCACAUGAGGAGAAAUUUUUUGCAGCUUUUUAAAAGAAAAACUGCAAUGCAGUUCUCUCUGAAAUGUAUGAAAACGCAUACUGAUGAUAACUAUGAAAAUGAUUUUAGCCACAGUCCCAUGGUGUAUGAAUGUGAGGUUGUAUUUACAAGUCUUUUUUGAUAACAACUGAGUCUAGCUCUUUAGUUUUCUUGACCUUUUUAUUAGGGUUAGGGUUCUCUGAAUAACUCUUAGUCCUCAUCAUAAACAAUUGAAUGUAGUAUUUUUUUUACUAUAGCUUUGUAAAUUAUAUCUUUAUUUCACUUUAGUAACCUUAUCCUGACCAGAGACAUGUUUAGAAAUGUGUGAUGUUCUGUACUAGAUUGUGUGGGUAUUUUUGAGUACCUGUGUCCUAUUCAUUGUGGUCAGAGCAUGAAGCUUCCUAACAGAUCCUUUAGUUGGGUUUGGCUUUCUAUCCAAAAAGCCAAAAGAAUAACAAGGACCUAGGAUUUCCCAUAUCCAUUUAAACUCCUUUUAUAGCGGAAGACUCACAGUUUUAUCUGAGUAUCAAAUAGUUCCACUAUAAGAAAUCUUUUUCAGUUUUUCAUGCAACUUGUAUUCUCUACAUGCCAUGACUCUGGCCGUUGACUCAUAAAUAGAGAUAAGUGUGUGGCAUUCUGAGAAAAACCUCUUGGAAAAAAAUCUGAUUUUUGUUUUUUUAAUUCAUUUUGUGGCCCUGAAGAUGAAAACUGCAGUCUAAAGAUGACAGAAUAGAGACAUCACAGUGAUACUAGUCUGUAUUGUGGCUUUUGAAAGAGUUUACCUUGGAACUCAAUUUAUUAAAUAGACUUUCUCUUCCCUGAGAAAACAAUAAAAUUGAUUACAAGAUU